AUACAAAAUGACUCUCGGCAACGGAUAUCUCGGCUCUUGCAUCGAUGAAGAACGUAGCGAAAUGCGAUACUUGGUGUGAAUUGCAGAAUCCCGUGAACCAUCGAGUCUUUGAACGCAAGUUGCGCCCAAAGCCAUUAGGCUGAGGGCACGCCUGCCUGGGUGUCACAC
rnacentral:rRNA from 2 species